rnacentral:piRNA from 2 species
UGCUGAGUGUGCCCGAGUUGUGCAG